rnacentral:piRNA from 1 species
GUGACGACGCCCACUGUUUCUGGAAAUC